rnacentral:rRNA from 1 species
UGGGGAAUAUUGGACAAUGGGGGAAACCCUGAUCCAGCGACGCCGCGUGUGUGAAGAAGGCCUGCGGGUUGUAAAGCACUUUCGGUGGGAACGAAAUAUGCCGGGCUAAUACCCCGGUAGGCUGACGUUACUCAAUGAAGAAGCACCGGCUAACUCUGUGCCAGCAGCCGCGGUAAUACAGAGGGUGCGAGCGUUAAUCGGAAUUACUGGGCGUAAAGCGCGCGUAGGCGGCGACGUAAGUGUAGGGUGAAAUCCCACGGCUCACCCGUGUGAAUUGCCCCGCAUACUGCGUUGCUUGAGUGUGGUAGGGGAGAGCGGAACUCCUGGUGGAGCGGUGAAAUGCGUAGAUAUCAGGAGGAACACCGGUGGCGUAGGCGGCUCUCUGGUCCAUAACUGACGCUGAAGUGCGAAAGCUAGGGUAGCGAACGGGAUUAGAUACCCAGGUAGUCCCUGAGCGGGCUGGCAAGGCGCAU